rnacentral:rRNA from 1 species
CGGGUAGUUAAGUCAGAAGUGAAAUCCAAUAGCUCAACUAUUGAACUGCUUUUGAAACUGAUUACCUAGAAUAUGGGAGAGGUAGAUGGAAUUUCUGGUGUAGGGGUAAAAUCCGUAGAGAUCAGAAGGAAUACCGAUUGCGAAGGCGAUCUACUGGAACAUUAUUGACGCUGAGACGCGAAAGCGUGGGGAGCAAACAGGAUUAGAUACCCUGGUAGUCCACGCCCUAAACGAUGUACACUAGUUGUUGUGAGGCUCGACCUUGCAGUAAUGCAGUUAACACAUUAAGUGUACCGCCUGGGGAGUACGGUCGCAAGAUUAAAACUCAAAGGAAUAGACGGGGACCCGCACAAGCGGUGGAGCAUGUGGUUUAAUUCGACGAUACACGAAGAACCUUACCUGGACUUGACAUAGUAAGAACUUUCUAGAGAUAGAUUGGUGUCUGCUUGCAGAAACUUAUAUACAGGUGCUGCACGGCUGUCGUCAGCUCGUGUCGUGAGAUGUUGGGUUAAGUCCCGCAACGAGCGCAACCCUCGUCAUUAGUUGCUAACAGUUCGGCUGAGAACUCUAAUGAGACUGCCUACGCAAGUAGGAGGAAGGUGACGACGACGUCAAGUCAUCAUGGCCCUUACGUCCAGGGCUACACACGUGCUACAAUGGGGUAUACAAAGAGCCGCAAUACGGUGACGUGGAGCAAAUCUCAAAAAUAUCUCCCAGUUCGGAUUGUAGUCUGCAACUCGACUACAUGAAGUUG